rnacentral:rRNA from 1 species
AGAGUUCAAGAGUACGUGAAACUCCGUCAAGCCCGUCGCAAGCGCGCGCCACGGUUACUCGGAGACACGGACCCAGAGCCGUCCCCGGUCCUGGCCCGCUGUUGGCCGACGGUGAUCCUUUGACAAGCCUUACGGGGCGACGCAAGAGGUUUUCCCCCGUGCGCCCACCCUAAUACCGGUCGACGACGCUACUGCUUUGGAUACUCUUAGGACCCGUCUUGAAACAC